rnacentral:rRNA from 1 species
GUGGAUUAGAUACCCUGGUAGUCCACGCCGUAAACGAUGGGUACUAGGUGUUGGAGGAUAUUGACCCCUUCAGUGCCGAAGCUAACGCAUUAAGUACCCCGCCUGGGGAGUACGGCCGCAAGGCUGAAACUCAAAGGAAUUGACGGGGACCCGCACAAGCAGUGGAGCAUGCUGCUCAAUUCGAUGCAACGCGAAGAACCUUACCUGGGCUUGACAUCCGGGGAAUCCCUUGGAAACAGGGGAGUGCCUUCGGGAACCCCGAGACAGGUGCUGCACGGCCGUCGACAACU